rnacentral:rRNA from 1 species
GAUGAACGCUGGCGGCGUGCCUAAUACAUGCAAGUCGAGCGAACAGAUGAGGAGCUUGCUCCUCUGACGUUAGCGGCGGACGGGUGAGUAACACGUGGAUCACCUACCUAUAAGACUGGGAUAACUUCGGGAAACCGGAGCUAAUACCGGAUAAUAUAUUGAACCGCAUGGUUCAAUAGUGAAAGACGGUUUUGCUGUCACUUAUAGAUGGAUCCGCGCCGCAUUAGCUAGUUGGUAAGGUAACGGCUUACCAAGGCAACGAUGCGUAGCCGACCUGAGAGGGUGAUCGGCCACACUGGAACUGAGACACGGUCCAGACUCCUACGGGAGGCAGCAGUAGGGAAUCUUCCGCAAUGGGCGAAAGCCUGACGGAGCAACGCCGCGUGAGUGAUGAAGGUCUUCGGAUCGUAAAACUCUGUUAUUAGGGAAGAACAAAUGUGUAAGUAACUAUGCACGUCUUGACGGUACCUAAACAGAAAGCAACGGCUAACUACGUG